GAAACCGGGUGAUCUAGCCAUGGGCAGGUUGAAGGUUGAGUAACAUCAACUGGAGGACCGAACCGACUAAUGUUGAAAAAUUAGCGGAUGACUUGUGGCUAGGGGUGAAAGGCCAAUCAAACUCGGAGAUAGCUGGUUCUCCCCGAAAGCUAUUUAGGUAGCGCCUCGGACGAAUACUACUGGGGGUAGAGCACUGUUAAGGCUAGGGGGUCAUCCCGACUUACCAACCCUUUGCAAACUCCGAAUACCAGUAAGUACUAUCCGGGAGACACACGGCGGGUGCUAACGUCCGUCGUGGAGAGGGAAACAACCCAGACCGCCAGCUAAGGUCCCAAAGUAUUGCUAAGUGGGAAACGAUGUGGGAAGGCUCAGACAGCUAGGAUGUUGGCUUAGAAGCAGCCAUCAUUUAAAGAAAGCGUAAUAGCUCACUAGUCGAGUCGGCCUGCGCGGAAGAUGUAACGGGGCUAAGCAAUACACCGAAGCUGCGGCAAUGUCUUUUAGACAUUGGGUAGGGGAGCG
rnacentral:rRNA from 1 species